rnacentral:tRNA from 1 species
GCGGCCGUGGUCUAGCCUGGUUAAGACUCAGGCCCUCCAACAUCACGGGGGAAAGCCUGAUACGCGGGUUCAAAUCCCGCCGGCCGCA